rnacentral:rRNA from 1 species
GUCGGGAAUAUUGCGCAAUGGAGGAAACUCUGACGCAGUGACGCCGCGUGCAGGAAGAAGGUUUUCGGAUUGUAAACUGCUUUAGACAGGGACGAAAUAAAUGACGGUACCUGUAGAAUAAGCUCCGGCUAACUACGUGCCAGCAGCCGCGGUAAUACGUAGGGAGCAAGCGUUAUCCGGAUUUAUUGGGUGUAAAGGGUGCGUAGACGGAAAGACAAGUUAGUUGUGAAAUACCUCGGCUUAACUGAGGAACUGCAACUAAAACUAUCUAUCUUGAGUACUGGAGGGGAAAGCGGAAUUCCUAGUGUAGCGGUGAAAUGCGUAGAUAUUAGGAAGAACACCGGUGGCGAAGGCGGCUUUCUGGACAGUAACUGACGUUGAGGCACGAAAGUGUGGGGAGCAAACAGGAUUAGAAACCCCAGUAGUCC